rnacentral:rRNA from 1 species
UACGUAGGCAGCAAGCGUUGUUCGGAAUUACUGGGCGUAAAGAGUGUGUAGGUGGUGUCGUAAGUUUGGUGUGAAAUCUCCCGGCUUAACUGGGAGGGUGCGCCGAAGACUGCGAUGCUGGAGUAUGGGAGAGGAAAGCGGAAUUCCUGGUGUAGCGGUGAAAUGCGUAGAUAUCAGGAGGAACACCUGCGGUGUAGACGGCUUUCUGGACCAUUGCUGACACUGAGACACGAAAGCGUGGGUAGCAAACAGG